AGUGAACGCUGGCGGUAGGCCUAACACAUGCAAGUCGAACGGCAGCACGGUAAGAGCUUGCUCUUACGGGUGGCGAGUGGCGGACGGGUGAGGAAUACAUCGGAAUCUACUUUUUCGUGGGGGAUAACGUAGGGAAACUUACGCUAAUACCGCAUACGACCUACGGGUGAAAGCAGGGGAUCUUCGGACCUUGCGCGAUUGAAUGAGCCGAUGUCGGAUUAGCUAGUUGGCGGGGUAAAGGCCCACCAAGGCGACGAUCCGUAGCUGGUCUGAGAGGAUGAUCAGCCACACUGGAACUGAGACACGGUCCAGACUCCUACGGGAGGCAGCAGUGGGGAAUAUUGGACAAUGGGCGCAAGCCUGAUCCAGCCAUACCGCGUGGGUGAAGAAGGCCUUCGGGUUGUAAAGCCCUUUUGUUGGGAAAGAAAAGCAGCAGGUUAAUACCCCGCUGUUCUGACGGUACCCAAAGAAUAAGCACCGGCUAACUCCGUG
rnacentral:rRNA from 1 species